rnacentral:misc_RNA from 1 species
UUUCUCUUUCUAAAACAACAACAAAAUGGGUUUAAAGAAAACAAGUAGCAGCAAACAACAAACAGCAGCUUUGAAACAAAUGAUCAAAAGAUGUUCUAGUUUUGGAAAAAAUGAGAAUAAUGGUUUCCCACAUGAUGUUCCAAAAGGACAUUUUGUUGUGUACGUUGGAGAAAAUAGAAGUAGAUAUAUAAUACCUAUUUCUUGGUUAACAUAUCCUCAAUUUCAAAAUUUGCUUCAAAGAGCUGAAGAAGAAUUUGGAUUUAGUCAUGAUAUGGGCAUUACUAUUCCUUGUCAUGAACAUGAUUUUUGUUCACUUAUUUCAAUGUUUAGAUGAAACAACAAAAUAUAAUCUUCCUUUUUCCUUUUUUUUUCUCUCUAUUAUAUCAUGUUAUUAUAAAGUACUAAAUAGG